AGGUGUAGCUCUGUAACUGGUCGUCUUUACUCAGGCUCGGUUUUGUUUUGGUCCCCACAAGUCCAGUAAAAUGGCUCUUCUCAACAUCACCACACAGAAGAAAGGCCAUCUGAGAAGGUGACAUCUAUAGAUCAGGAAGAGAGCCCUCCCCAAGAACUGAGUGGACCAGCACCUUGACUUUGACUUCUCAGCUUCAGAACUGCAGGAUGCCUGGAUCCUGGAUUCAUCACAAAUGAACUCUGUCAACUUCCCCGUGAUACAACACAUUCUGGCAGUAUUUGUCUACUUUUGAUAAAUUGG